rnacentral:rRNA from 1 species
GAGUUUGAUCUUGGCUCAGAACGAACGUUGGCGGCGUGCUUAACACAUGCAAGUCGAACGAGAACGGUUUCUUCGGAGACCUAGUAAAGUGGCGCACGGGUGAGUAACACGUAGAUAACCUGUCCAGGUGUUCGGGAUAGCCCUUCGAAAGGGGGAGUUAAUACCGGAGUACGUUAGUCUGUUAUAAGGACGAGAUUAAGUAAAGGUAGGGCCGUCCUAUUUAUUAAGACUAUCGCAUUUGGUAGGGGUCGUGCGUACCA